ensembl:lncRNA
GUUUAGUUCGAUCCCGUGGCUGUCCUGUUUUGUUUUUGCUUUCUUGCUGUAUAAUCCUACAGAUAAGAGGGUAAUAUAAAUACUUGGGAAGGUUGGGAAAUUGUUGAAGAGUAGUAAGGGCGGAAAAAAAAAGAGCCAGUCGGAAGCUGGUUAUAUAAUGCGCUAUGUGGCUAACAAGAAAGGCAAGCUAUUUUUAUUUUGUUUACCGUAUGUUGUGCAGUAGGAACUCCUCCAAACUGGUUCUGUCCCCGAAGAGAUUUCUUAGUUUGUCAGAGAGAGAGUCACAGGAUACAAUUAGUAAAAUUAGAAGACCCCACACCACCUACAGAAGAAAAAGUAAUGCUUUAGAGCUCUCACCUCACAUCCUGCCUGGCAUGCAGGGGAAUGUGUGUAUGUCCUAUGUUUCCCUGUAGCAAUCUAGUGGUGUCAUCUCAGUGACAUUUCUGUUUUAUAAUGCGAGCUCUUCUUAAUAUUUAAACAGCAUUGCUAUAGAUCGUAGGCAACAAGGUAGUUACAGGCUGGGUAUUUUUAGGUACAGCUGGUUACUUUUUGCAAGAGUGUUUGCUAAACCAUUUCUGUGUGGCUUUUUGAAGAGCCCUGUCAUUCCUAGAAGCCCUCGUUAAGCCUAAACCUCUGGUUUAUUGAUGGUGGGUGGGUAGCUGAGACAGUUUGAUAGCCGAGGGUUUUAUUUUUAUUUUUAUUUUAUUUUUGAAUGAAGCUUAUGCCAGCGGAAGCUAGAGGUAGCCACCAGAGAGAGGAAAAACAUGCACAAGCCCUCUUGGAAAGGGAUUGCACCAUAACAGCUUAACUGUGGCAUUUAAUCUCCUCUGAUUGUCCUCUAACUGGCCACGCAUCAGUCAAUAUUUUAGCAGCUUUGCAAAUAAGUGGGCUUGAAUGCCACCUUCCACAUAAAGCCGAGGCUGAGAAACCUCCUGCCCGCCUGCCUCUCUCAUCAUAGAUACUGUCUGUGGUGUUAGUUUUCUGUACACUUACUCCAGCCCAGAUCACUCAUGUAAUUAGAUCAGGCUGCCAUGGCAACAGACAGUGUUCCUUGGCCCAUUCAGGUGGGUUUGCCUGAACUACUCCAAGUGUUUUAUGCACGGUAUUUGAACUGCCCGAAUCCGAGGGGAGAGACUUCACUGUUUCAAUUGCAUCUUCUUUCAAGUCAUCUGAACGGGAGACACUGAAUGAGGCUCCUAGCUACUUAGCUUUUCUAAAGGAAACCAACACGCUGUUCCUACUGGGUACAAUAUGUAAAUGCCUCUCCCCAGACAGAGAAAGGAGCCGGACAAUCCUGCUGGUGUUUAUUGUGAGCAGAUCAACAAGUAUUUGAUACUUGCUAGAAACCUUUCAGAGCUGACUAAAGCAACAUUUCUUUUGCAGUCUAGAGCCUUUGGCCUUGCAGGCACUUAACCCUUUCAAGUGUGAGAGAAGAGCACAACCCCUGCUUUAUAGUCAAAAUUGCUGACAGUGCUGGCUGGCUUUCUAGAUGGUUUACGGAAAGGAGAUGGUUUAUUUGGAAAGCCUAUCCCCACUGUUACGUUUUAAAACUUGACGGUCUCCAUUAUAAAAAAUGGAUACUGACAGUAGGCAGGCAUUCUGAAUAUUAUCUUCCUUAAUUUGGAUCUGUUGCUCCUGACCUUUGAUGAUCUUCAGAAGUAAUUGAAAGUUUUUUUUGUUUUUGUUUUUGUUUUUUUUUUGUUUUUUUUUUGUUUUGUUUUUGCAGCUAAGUUAGAGAGGAUACAAGCCAGCUUAAUGCACAGAACUUUGCACAGUAAACAGUUUGUACAGUACCUUAGGGUAUAAUUUAAUGAACAUCUAGAGCACUGCAGUCCAGUGUUUACAUUUGGGCACUACCUUAAGCCUACUGAGGCCAGAAAGAUUAUAUUAUGACCGAAGAGAUAACAAAAUGGCAGCUUUAGUUGCUGGAGCCCAACAGUGUUCAGACAGUCCAGAUGAAGGGGAAUGUUUUAGGAACUUUGAAUGUGACAUGAUUUAGUUGUGACCCUGCCCGUCAGUUUAUAGUUUUAAGGCCAAGCAGCUAAAUUGGUUAAACGAGAAGAGAGGGAAAGACAACUAGAGAAACACCUCUCCCACAAACAUGAAUCUCUCACCUCUCUAGUGCCAAGACUGAAAAAGUUGCCCAAUUUUCCUCCCAGGGGGUUUAUGAGUUUCCCCUGGUUACUGAGUUUAUGUGGUGGGUACGUUAUUGUGGCCUGUUCCAGUAAGGUAUCAUUGUGGUUAAAACAAGCUAUUAUUUCUGAGAGGUAAGUUCAUGUGAAACCAGGAUCUAAACUAAGAAGACAGACGUUUUAAGUUUUAUACACACCUUGGAGGGCCUCGAUUCUAUUCUGCAACAGAUAGAGAACAGCUUUAUUUGUGGCUAAAGGUGUACCUGUAUUUUUUUUCAGUGUGCAAAUAAGCCCUUGCCAAAAUAAAUACAAGAAGUGUCCGUUCUUGAUGGAGAACUGGGAAAGUCCGUAGACGUAUCCUGCACCGUUCAACGAGUCACCAGGGUGGUCCCUUCACGCUACGAAUCUGUCUGCCAUCCUGAUCCAACAGUCUCUUCCUCCACUCCCUCUGCAGAGAAGGGCAUCACAUGUCAGGAAAGGGUCAAAACUGGAAAUCUGCAGCAGCGACAGGCUAGACUGGAGAAGUACAGACAGAAGCUGACAGCCCCAUGCCCCUUGUUGGGAGUUCAGCCCAUGGAAUGUUCUGUAGGAAAAAGGAAUGGUGGAGAUAUUUUAGUUACAUUUUGUUCUCGGUCAAAACCUUCUGAAAUAUAAAUCUGCUGAGUGUUGAGAAUGGAGACAGCGUUCAUAGAGCUUGAAUGGCUUUCAUUUAACUAGAGGAUCCCACAGAAAAGAGGCGCUUGUUCUGACAACCAUGUUUUUGGCUUCCUUUGACUUAAAGAAGAAAAAAAAAUCAAAUCCCUGUUUACAUAUCCGAGAGGAUUGUUUUAUGAACAAAGACACGGGUCAAAUCACAUCGCAGUGGCUUCUGCGACAGCAGAUAGAAACAUUUCCAGAGUGACACACAAAUACUUCUAAGCCUCAGCCGGAGCCCACGGCAAUGGUUAUGGGUUGGUGCGAUGAAACCAUUUGCAGUUACGAUUCAAUUGUGAAUGUGCUUUUCCCUCUGCAGUGUAGAAGUCUUUUUUUUAAAACAGAAUUCCAAUCUCCUGCCAGCACACAUCUUUAUUCGGGCUUCACCUAUUUGCAUAAUAGGGAACGAAUAUGAAUAUAUAUUCAUGUAUGUGUGUAAUCAUAGAAGUCAUCUUUAUCUUGGUUUCGCCGCAGCAGAUUACUUUUUCCCUCAUCAUGGCACCGGGAAUUGUUUCCAAUAGUGGAAGUUUCAUAGUUACCCACAAAUGUGACUUUUCCAUGUUGACAGAUCCCACAGAGGGUUUGGAGACAGUGCUUGUGGCCAACGGGGCUGCACUUGUGAAGUGAGGGCGUUCUGAAGUUCAAGUUCUGAGCGGACCUCCACUCUGCACCCUAGGAGCAGAUGGUGUGUUGUUCUGCGUUGGGUUUCGAAAGCCCAGAUCCUCUGGCAUUGGCCUGGGACGCAAUGGAAGUGUAAAUGCUCUCAUUACCCACUACCGCCCUGAAAGCUCUCAGCACCCUGUGGUCUGUGGAUCUUGAGACUCAGGCUUCUCAGGGAGGCUGAGCAUUUAAAGAAGAGUUUAAAAACAUUUAGGGCUGCUGACCAAGCCCCUUAGCAAUCACCUGAGCUAGGUUUUUCUCUUCAUUCUAACUCCUAGACUCUUGAUUGUACGUCUUAGGUUUAAUUUCCAUUCUUUGCCUUGUGUUACUUUACCCUUCAGUUUGUGGACUUUCAUUUUGAAAAUAAAAUCUUCUCCUCAUUAAUUACUCCUCCAUGACUUUGAUGUUGCUUCGAGACUUGGCCUCACAAAAUCCAGGCCAGCCUGGAACUGGCGAUCCUCCAGCCAUCGCUUCUAGGUGGGAACCACCACACCCCUGCGUACAGAAACUUUAAAAACCAAAAGGACAAAUUUGCCAAGUGUGGUUGGCGGUUCAUGCUUAGAGUCCCAGCACUUGGGAGGCUGAGGCAGGAAGCGAGCACAAUACAGAAAGUCCUAUCCAGAGCUGGCAAGAUGGCUCCGUGGCUAGCGCUGCUUCUACUCAGGCCUGGCGUCCAGUUAGGUUCCUGGGAUCCACGUAAAAGCGGAAGGACG